rnacentral:tRNA from 1 species
GUUAUUAUAGUGUAGUAAACACAUUACAUUUUCGUUGUAAAACCAAAGGUUUUAAAUCCUUUUAAAAAC